GAAGAGUUUUGAGGAGGGAAUGUAUUAGUCAUUCUUCACCUCAGCCAAAUGGCUGUAAAUGAUCUUACAAGAAAUUUCAACCAAACACCCGGACCAGGGAAACCAGCAGUCACUAAGCCGGGCGCUCGGGGGGAGAAUCGGCUGUUUUGACUCUUCAGGCUCUUUCUCGCAUCAUAAUUCUUUUUAUCUCCCGAGUAACGAGUUCGAUUUUACUUGCAGGAACAAUGGCUUACCUCCUAAGCCCCGCUUUCUCCUCCCUCCCGGGCACUUUUCCACCCCCUCGCCUCUGCCCGGAGCCCAGCUUUGAAUCGGGCUGCCCGAGGGAGCUCUGAGGCUCACAGGGGCCGGCGGGCAGGCUCUGACCCCAGUCCUCUGCUCCUGGGGGAGGGUCUGCCGCGGGGAUGCUGGCAGAGACCGACUGUCACGGUCACCAUGGUGACCGCGCAGCAGCUGCUGUCCCCACCGUCCAUCGGGAAGGUGUGUCUGACGGUGCUCACAGCAGGCCGGCGGGCGGCGGCAGCCCCAGCUGAGGCCAGCAGCCUUGGGCGCCGAGGCCCCUUGCUUCCCAGAGCCCCGGCCUGUCCAGCGGCUGCCUGCACAAGCCGGGUCCGGAGGAGCAGGCUCGGCCUCCCGCACGCACACACUUCUCUGCAAUCUCGCCAUCCUGGGAACGUCUCCCGGGCCUGGAAAAAACCACCACUGGAGGCUUCCCAAAAACAAAUCAUGUGGAGUCGGAGCUGGCGUCUCAGGAAAGAGAAGUCUCAGAGCAAAGUGCCACUGAAACACAAAGCCUUCCCAGCCUGUGCCCAGCCUGCAGGGUGCCGCUGUGAGUGCCGCGGGGACACAGCCUCUUCGCUGACACGCUGUGCUCGCCCCAGGCAGCACUGA
rnacentral:lncRNA from 1 species